rnacentral:rRNA from 1 species
UACGGAGGGGACUAGCGUUGUUCGGAAUUACUGGGCGUAAAGCGCACGUAGGCGGAUUUGUAAGUCAGGGGUGAAAUCCCGGGGCUCAACCUCGGAACUGCCUUUGAUACUGCAAAUCUCGAGUCCGGAAGAGGUGAGUGGAAUUACUGGUGUAGCAGUGAAAUGCGUAGAUAUCAGUAGGAACACCAAUGGCGAAGGCAGCUUGCUGGGCCGACCCUGACGCUAAGGCACGAAAGCGUGGGGAGCGAACAGG